rnacentral:snRNA from 1 species
GUUAUUAUCCAUUUCAUAACCUUCGAUAAAAUUGAAACGAUGCCACGAAGAUUAACAUUAUUUCUGCCCAAAGAAGGCCUGCGCAAAUCGAGAAAUGGUCCAAAUUUGA